GCUAGGAUGGUGUAGUGGUUUGAACAUUGGACUAUGACUCUGGAGACCAGCGUUCAAAACCCGUCUCAAGCA
rnacentral:tRNA from 1 species